UCUCUGUGGCCAGAGUCCAGAGAUAUGCACUUUGUUGUCUAAAAAUUCCCAAAGUCACACCUUACUUAGGCCAUCUUUAUAGGGACAUCUUUAUGGGUGUUCUUGAGCUUAUAUUUAUUCAAAAUAAUUCGAAAUUGGGCUUAGAUCAUAAAACAUGUUCUUAUUUCGGAACUGUUGUUAGGUGUGUUCUUCUGUGACGUGUCGCAAUGGUAUUGGAAAGAAAUAUUUGGGGGUCGAAAGUUUUAUUUGGUUUCUUCUUCCAGUGAGUCUUGUUGUUUUGGUCGGUCGAGAGAUUUCUCUCGUUUCAUCUUCUUCCAUCGGCGACGACGAUUUGCUCAGAAACAAAACAGUUUCUCAUCGGAGAAGAAUCUCGUUUACGAUUCUCCUUCUCCUAAUCUUGUUUAGUACAAGGGUCUCUGGUUCGAUUGAUGAAUCUGGAAGAAGAGUGAUUGAAGCGAGAACUGGGCAAGACUUGAUUUGGGUUGUUCAGCUUUCCGAUCUUCAUUUCAGUGUUCAUCAUCCCGAAAGAGCCAUUGAUUUCAAAAACAUCGUUGGUCCUGCUCUGUCUCUUAUCAACCCUUCUCUCGUUCUAAUCACCGGUGAUCUCACAUGUUUAUAUCUCUCUCCUUAUAUGUUCAAAUUUGUGGAUCAUAGGUUCUUAGGUUUUACUUAUACUUCUUAUAUGCAAGUCUGAAGCUUUAUUGAUUUGAGUUCAAUCUUUCCCCCAAAAAUUAUAACUUAUUGAUUUGAGUUCGAUCUUUCCCCCAAAAAUUAUAACUUUAACUUUGGGAACCAUUGUGGUUAGAUGGUUUUGUUUCGUGAAGAUUGCUGGUUGAUUCUUUUUCUUAAUUUGGUUAAUCAGAUAGGAAAAGCAAAGACAUGUUAACAAUGAAGCUAAAUGAAGAUGAGUGGUUAGAAUACGAGAGUGUGAUGAAAGAUGUUGUGAAAGAAGUGGGUUGAAUAAGAGCAUAUUCUAUGUAGAGAAGAGAAAUGUUGCAUCCGCGGAUUCUAUCAUCCGAGGAGCAAUAGAAAACAAUGAGAAACUACGAGCGCAGUUUUCUUCUGCGGUCACAACCACAUUAAGCAAUGUGGAUUCUGCAAACAGCGAUAUCAUCUCAUCCAUUGACCAAUCUUUACAACUCGAUAAAGACGUAUCAGUGGAUGUUAAUUCCACAAUCGCUCCUUGUUCUGAAAACUUGAAAGAACUAAGAAGCCACCAUGAUGGCAACGUAGUAGACAUCAAAGAAAAGACAGGAAAAUGUUUUGGUCACGAGUACAAGGUGGAUGAAGCAACAAGCUCAACGCCAAGGAAGAGAGAGUACAACAUUCCAACGGUAGGAUCAAUAGAAGAACUGAAAACGCCUUCAUUGGGUGCUGAAAGUACUUCCAACUGGUGGUAUCAGUUUACCGACCUUUCCGUUGGAUUCACGUUUUAUGUCAACAUCCUUUGCACGUCACAAAUAUGAAUGAUAGUAGCAUGAUCAUAGUUUUCAUGAUCAUAGUUUUCAAGAAGCAGUUCAUUCUCAACAGUGUUUUAUUGUUUCAUACAAAUAUUAUAUUAAUAAAUCAUAUGAUCUUACACUA